rnacentral:rRNA from 1 species
AUGAACGCUAGCUACAGGCUUAACACAUGCAAGUCGAGGGGCAGCAUGAACUUAGCUUGCUAAGUUUGAUGGCGACCGGCGCACGGGUGAGUAACACGUAUCCAACCUGCCGAUGACUCGGGGAUAGCCUUUCGAAAGAAAGAUUAAUACCCGAUGGCAUAGUUCUUCCGCAUGGUGGAACUAUUAAAGAAUUUCGGUCAUCGAUGGGGAUGCGUUCCAUUAGGUUGUUGGCGGGGUAACGGCCCACCAAGCCUUCGAUGGAUAGGGGUUCUGAGAGGAAGGUCCCCCACAUUGGAACUGAGACACGGUCCAAACUCCUACGGGAGGCAGCAGUGAGGAAUAUUGGUCAAUGGACGAGAGUCUGAACCAGCCAAGUAGCGUGAAGGAUGACUGCCCUAUGGGUUGUAAACUUCUUUUAUACGGGAAUAAAGUGAGGCACGCGUGCCUUUUUGUAUGUACCGUAUGAAUAAGGAUCGGCUAACUCCGUGCCAGCAGCCGCGGUAAUACGGAGGAUCCGAGCGUUAUCCGGAUUUAUUGGGUUUAAAGGGAGCGUAGGCGGACGCUUAAGUCAGUUGUGAAAGUUUGCGGCUCAACCGUAAAAUUGCAGUUGAUACUGGGUGUCUUGAGUACAGUAGAGGCAGGCGGAAUUCGUGGUGUAGCGGUGAAAUGCUUAGAUAUCACGAAGAACUCCGAUUGCGAAGGCAGCCUGCUGGACUGUAACUGACGCUGAUGCUCGAAAGUGUGGGUAUCAAACAGGAUUAGAUACCCUGGUAGUCCACACAGUAAACGAUGAAUACUCGCUGUUUGCGAUAUACAGUAAGCGGCCAAGCGAAAGCGUUAAGUAUUCCACCUGGGGAGUACGCCGGCAACGGUGAAACUCAAAGGAAUUGACGGGGGCCCGAACAAGCGGAGGAACAUGUGGUUUAAUUCGAUGAUACGCGAGGAACCUUAUCCGGGCUCAAACGCACGACGGCGGCACGUGAAAGCGUGCUUACCUACGGGACGUUGUGCGAGGUGCUGCAUGGUUGUCGUCAGCUCGUGCCGUGAGGUGUCGGCUUAAGUGCCAUAACGAGCGCAACCCUUAUCGAUAGUUACCAUCAGGUUAUGCUGGGGACUCUGUCGAGACUGCCGUCGUAAGAUGUGAGGAAGGUGGGGAUGACGUCAAAUCAGCACGGCCCUUACGUCCGGGGCUACACACGUGUUACAAUGGGGGGUACAGAAGGCAGCUACACGGCGACGUGAUGCUAAUCCCGAAAGCCUCUCUCAGUUCGGAUUGGAGUCUGCAACCCGACUCCAUGAAGCUGGAUUCGCUAGUAAUCGCGCAUCAGCCACGGCGCGGUGAAUACGUUCCCGGGCCUUGUACACACCGCCCGUCAAGCCAUGAAAGCCGGGGGUACCUGAAGUGCGUAACCGCGAGGAGCGCCCUAGGGUAAAACUGGUGAUUGGGGCU